rnacentral:rRNA from 1 species
CGCAUCUGUGCAUGCAGCAUAUCAAUAAGCGGAGGAAAAGAAACUAACAAGGAUUCCCUUAGUAACGGCGAGUGAAGCGGGAAGAGCUCAAAUUUGAAAUCUUCAAGGUUUUACCUUGACGAAUUGUAGUUUAAAGAAGUGUUUUCCGUUGAAGUUUUGGUAAAAGUUCUUUGGAAUAGGACAUCAUAGAGGGUGAGAAUCCCGUAUUCGACCAUUAUUUUCAGCUGUGUGAUACACUUUCAAAGAGUCGGAUUGUUUGGGAAUGCAGUCCAAAAUGGGUGGUAAAUUUCAUCUAAAGCUAAAUAUUGGCGAGAGACCGAUAGCGAACAAGUACCGUGAGGGAAAGAUGAAAAGAACUUUGAAAAGAGAGUUAAACAGUACGUGAAAUUGUCAAAAGGGAAGCGUUUGACACCAGUGUUGUUUUCUCGAAAAUCAAUUAAAAAGAGUUUAGAUUUUGUUGUGUAUUGACCUUAACAGCUUGCAUUUCAAUUUUCUUGCUUUUUUUAAUGCACUUUUCGUUUAACAAGUCAACAUCAGUUUCUUUUGUUGUAAAAAGGUCAUUGGAAGGUGGCUUUCUUUUCGGAGAAAGUGUUUAUAGCCUUUGACUCCUGCAAUCGGAGAGACUGAGGUCUGCAGCGUAGAUCCUUCGGGGUUAGAUACAUUUGUGCUAAGUUAUAGCUUUUUAUAGACAACUUGUUGACUAUGAUUAGUCUUGUAGCUUACUCGCUUAUGCUAUUUUACCUACGCUUAGGAUGUUGAUGUGAUACUGCGAGC